AUGAACGCUGGCGGCGUGCCUAAUACAUGCAAGUCGAGCGAACAGACGAGGAGCUUGCUCCUCUGACGUUAGCGGCGGACGGGUGAGUAACACGUGGAUAACCUACCUAUAAGACUGGGAUAACUUCGGGAAACCGGAGCUAAUACCGGAUAAUAUAUUGAACCGCAUGGUUCAAUAGUGAAAGACGGUUUUGCUGUCACUUAUAGGUGGAUCCGCGCCGCAUUAGCUAGUUGGUAAGGUAACGGCUUACCAAGGCAACGAUGCGUAGCCGACCUGAGAGGGUGAUCGGCCACACUGGAACUGAGACACGGUCCAGACUCCUACGGGAGGCAGCAGUAGGGAAUCUUCCGCAAUGGGCGAAAGCUUGACGGAGCAACGCCGCGUGAGUGAUGAAGGUCUUCGGAUCGUAAAACUCUGUUAUUAGGGAAGAACAAAUGUGUAAGUAACUAUGCACGUCUUGACGGUACCUAAUCAGAAAGCCACGGCUAACUACGUG
rnacentral:rRNA from 1 species